UACGGAGGGUGCGAGCGUUGUCCGGAAUCAUUGGGCGUAAAGGGCGCGUAGGUGGCCCGGCAAGCCUGCGGUGAAAGUCGGGGGCUCAACCCCCGAUCGGCCGUGCGAACUGCGGGGCUGGAGCACUGUAGAGGCAGGCGGAAUUCCGGGUGUAGCGGUGGAAUGCGUAGAGAUCCGGAAGAACACCGGUGGCGAAGGCGGACGGCUGGGCAGUUUUGCUGACACUGAGGCGCGACAGCGUGGGGAGCAAACAGG
rnacentral:rRNA from 1 species